rnacentral:misc_RNA from 1 species
GUAAAAGACAGUUUCAUAGUAAGUUUAAAACUGUGGACAUAAGAUUUAAAACAUAUCCGAAAGAUACAGAGGUAUCUACAUACUUGGAAUAACAAAUGUCCACUAGGACACUGCUGUAAUGUUUGCCCGAAUCACAUCUGCGCGACCAACAUUUCCGGAUCAGACGAUUCCACAUAGAGUGUGCCCCGAGUCCACCUCUUCAGCAUCGCUAAUGCAGCUUUCGGCUGGUCCAUAGGGACCAUGUGACCCGCAUCAUGAACCUUGAGAAAACUGAGGGGGCCAUGUCUUUUAAGCAAGCCUGCUUCUGAACCAUUAACCAGGAAGGGGACAUUAGGAGCAGUCGCAAACUCCUCCUUACCAGACCAUUGCAUUGCAUGUACCCAUCUUGAAUUACCUAGCCAAUUGCAGAUCAAAUCAUAUUCGCCAGCAUAUACAAGCAACUUGAUCCCAUCCUCGAGUAGAGCAGGAAUACCCACUUCGGAAUUCCUCAUCCAGUCCACCAGCAUGGCCCUAUAGACGGUAGGACUGCAUGAAACAAAUUCUAUGUCCCCAACGCCAAGGGUUUCCCUAACAGAUUGUUGGUUCAAGAAUUUCUCCAUAUUUGAGAAAUCAUAGCAAAGGCUCCCUUCACACUUUUUCCUGAUAUCAUAAUGAUUCAUAU